GGGUGAGUAACACGUGGAUAACCUACCUAUAAGACUGGGAUAACUUCGGGAAACCGGAGCUAAUACCGGAUAAUAUUUUGAACCGCAUGGUUCAAAAGUGAAAGACGGUCUUGCUGUCACUUAUAGAUGGAUCCGCGCUGCAUUGGCUAGUUGGUAAGGUAACGGCUUACCAAGGCAACGAUGCAUAGCCGACCUGAGAGGGUGAUCGGCCACACUGGAACUGAGACACGGUCCAG
rnacentral:rRNA from 1 species